rnacentral:misc_RNA from 1 species
GGUUUUUCUAGGGUUUAUGGGAACUAUAUUUAAUUUGAUUGACAUUUUACUUCUGUAGUAUGUUUAUUUUUAUGCGUUUGUUUUCCCCCUCUUUUUUAUGUUAAAUAUUUUAAUCAAAAUUUUGUUGUAGUUGGGGUGUGAGCUGAUUGAAACUUAAUAUUGGAUUCUUUUUAAACUAAGAUAGUAAGAAUUAUAUUUGAUUUGGUUGAUUUUGCUUUUAUAUAUCAUAAGUUUGUUUAAUUGUUUGUUUGUGGGAUGUGUGGUAACGGUGGUAAAAUGAAAAUGAAAAAAGGAAAUAUUUUGGCAAAAAGGAA